GAGCUCAUUUCAGUAGCACAUAUACUAAAAUUGGACUAAUACAAAGAAGAUUUGCACGGCCUCUUAACAAGGAUGACACACAAAUUCGUGUGGAAUUCCAUACUUUU
rnacentral:snRNA from 3 species